rnacentral:lncRNA from 1 species
ACUCCUAAAAAUGUAUAUUAUGCUAAAUAAAGUGUAGGAAUAGAGCAUCACAAUGCCAUGAGUUCGAUAAAGAAUGUUUAAAAACAAAAUACAAUUUUAAGAAGAUGAUGAUAAUGGUGGUUGUUGAUUCCUUACAAUACUAAUGAGUAUUUUCUUCAACUCUUCAUCUCUCUUCUCGCUCAAAGCCAUUAACUGUAAGAUCACUUCCCUCAUAUAGGAUACUAAUACUAUGUUAAGCUGAGUUCACAUUUCA